GGGCUUUAGCUCAGUGGGAGAGCAUCUGCCUUGCAUGCAGAAAGUCAUAGGUUCAAUCCCUGACAUCUCCA